CCCCCGCGGUCCCUUCAGCGAGGGGCGACGGCGGCCGGGCGCCACGUUUCACUUCAGGUUUGACUGCCACCUCCCCGGCCACCUCCCCCGCGGUGUUCCAGGCCGGAUUGCUCAGACUCUGGCAAUGCCCAAAGGCCUUUGCUUCGGCCUUGACUGUGAACAGAAUAGAAGCAAGAACUCCGCCACUGGGCCACACCUUCCCUGCUCUUCUGAGGAACUCCCCUGUCGCCUCAUUUACAGUUGAGGAAAUGGAUACAGACAUGCGUCCAAAGGAAGUGACCGGAUGAGGAGUCAAACCCAGCCCAAACCCUGUUGCAAGAAGUUCUGUGAUGAAAAACAGGCACUCGUCAACUGUCCGGGACCAAAGCUUUGGAUCAUCUCAACAGAAGGGAAAGAUUUGCAACUAAGAUUUGAAGAAGUUUUACUGAACCAGCCAUCUAUGGUGUUGAUUUGUGUGGGCCUGGAAGGAGUUGAGAGGAAAACCAGCUGGCCUGCCUUGGAAUCUUCAGUGAGGGGCCUUGAAAGGUUUGAAAGUGUGAACUGAGUCAUGGCCAGAGAAAGACAUUGCUGAGACCCAGAGCGGUGGAAGCCCAAACCAAACCGCAGUGGGCAGAAGUAAGAAAAGGAAGUUGUGAGGCCUGAACAAAAUGUUCUUCAAUGCAAAGAGUAAACAAUGGCAUUCCUCCCUGGACCAGUCAGGUGGCAUGGCAGUUGAGAUGACUGGAUCUCAUAUGGACAAGUACAUGGCUUGGAUCCGAGACCUGGCAGCUUGGAAAAUAUGACAGUCAUGUAUGUGUGUAUGCACUAAAUCCUG